rnacentral:rRNA from 1 species
UACGUAGGGGGCAAGCGUUGUCCGGAUUUAUUGGGCGUAAAGCGCUCGCAGGUGGUUCGUCGCGUCGUGCGUGAAAGACCCCGGCUCAACUGGGGGAGGUCGUGCGAUACGGGCGGACUGGAGGCCAGUAGGGGGAUGCGGAAUUCCGGGCGUAGUGGUGGAAUGCGUAGAGAUCCGGAGGAACACCAGCGGCGAAGGCGGCAUCCUGGACUGGUCCUGACACUCAUGAGCGAAAGCGUGGGGAGCGAUCCGG